rnacentral:rRNA from 1 species
UACGUAGGUGGCAAGCGUUGUCCGGAUUUACUGGGCGUAAAGCGCGUGUAGGCGGCCCGGUAAGUCCGCUGUGAAAGUCCAGGGCUCAACCCUGGGAUGCCGGUGGAUACUGUCGGGCUCGAGUCCGGAAGAGGCGAGUGGAAUUCCUGGUGUAGCGGUGAAAUGCGCAGAUAUCAGGAGGAACACCAAUGGCGAAGGCAGCUCGCUGGGACGUGACUGACGCUGAGACGCGAAAGCGUGGGGAGCGAACAGG